GGCUGGAUGGUCUAGUGGUAAGACGUCCGUCUCUCAAUUUCAGCCGAUUUUGGAUUUAUCCAAACUCGCCUACGACAAGCCUCCGAGUUUGUGGUUGAGAACAGACGGGAACCCCCAGUUCAAAUCUGGGUCCGGCCA
rfam:Pseudogymnoascus pannorum VKM F-4516 (FW-969) contig_785, whole genome shotgun sequence.